CUGGAACCCCAGGAAAUAAUAAAUUGGCAGGGCAAGUAGCCGUCCACCUGAGAAUCUCUUAGAGUGUCAGAGAUCUCUUAGAAUGUCUACUGUGACACCUGUCUGGAGGCCGUUUCUCUCCAGUCACUGUGUGUGUGUGCGAGCGCGCGCGCGUGUGCGUGUGCGUGUGCUGGUGGAAGGGGAUUUAGAGGACAGCAGGGUUGUGUGGGUGGAUAGGGGAUACCAGCCUAAGGGUACCAAGGUUAGGAUACCUUUCCACUGCCUGGAUAUGGCUGGAUGGCCCUGGGACCUGAUGGUAGAGCAGGGUCUUGGAGACAGCCCCUGACACCAGCUUCUCUAGGUGGUGGAUACAACUGCAGCACAAGUGAAAGCCAAGCAAGGAGUACUGGAGAGAGAGUCUAGAGACCAGCGUAAAAGUUUAUUCAAAUAGGCUGAUUAAGACCCACAGAGUGCUGUGUUUACAGGCGUGUUCUACUUUACCCAGCUCUCUCCAGGAACAUCUUAAUUCAAUCAAGUUGGCAAUCAAGAUUAACCAGCACAACAUUCAAGAUCCCCCAUGCUUUGUGAUUCCCAAUCUUCUAAUCCUAAUAUGCAGGAGAGAGGUCUGUAUGUUAACUGUUGAAAAUAAACAGAAAAGAAAG
ensembl:lncRNA